GCCUGGGUGGCUCAGUCGGCUGAGCACCUGACCUGAGCUCAGGUCAUGAUCUCCCAGUUCGUGGGUUCGAGCCCCGCAUGGGGCU
rnacentral:tRNA from 1 species